CGCGGGGUGGAGCAGCCUGGUAGCUCGUAGGGCUCAUAACCCGAAGGUCGUCGGUUCAAAUCCGGCCCCCGCAACCA
rnacentral:tRNA from 5 species